rnacentral:rRNA from 1 species
UACGUAGGGUGCGAGCGUUGUCCGGAAUUAUUGGGCGUAAAGAGCUCGUAGGCGGUCUGUCGCGUCGAUCGUGAAAACUUGGGGCUUAACCCUGAGCUUGCGGUCGAUACGGGCAUGACUGGAGUUCGGCAGGGGAGACUGGAAUUCCUGGUGUAGCGGUGAAAUGCGCAGAUAUCAGGAGGGACACCGGUGGCGAAGGCGGGUCUCUGGGCAGUAACUGACGCUGAGGAGCGAAAGCGUGGGGAGCGAACAGG